UGUGUGUGUGAGCUACCAGAGAAAGAAAAGAACGGGGGAAAACACCAAAAACCCUCAUUCACUAAAUUGAUCAAAUUGGAGGAUGGAUUGAGUCCAAAUCAUAUGCAUGAACUUGAAAUUCUGAUUAUCUAAACCUAAUAAACACAAGUUUAGAUGUUUUGAUGAUUGUAGAGGUGAAACACAAGUGAAGCAUCGGGACGUCAAGCUUGACUAGACGCGCGAUUGAAAGAAAAGUUAUAAGGUGCUUAGAUGUAAACGGGUCGAAUAAUUGAACGCACAAUCCGAGAACCGAUAGCGUAAAGCGUAAGAGUUAUAUCAGUGGCGACGGAGAUCUGUGGUGGGUCGUCGGAUCUGUGGCGGGUCGUCGGAUCUGUGGCGAUGGGGUUCUGUGGUGGUCCUCAGAUCUGUGGUGGGUCGUCGGAUCUGUG
rnacentral:lncRNA from 1 species